rnacentral:lncRNA from 1 species
UUUUUUUUUAAAGUAUAGUGCAAUGUAGUGAAUGCAGACAAAAUGUUCCUAUAACAUAUCUGUACAGAUUUUUUUCUAAGACGGGAGUCUUGCUAUGUUGUCCAGGCUGGUCUUGAACUCUGGGGUCCUCCUUUGUCUGGGCUUGUUCCAUCUUCCAAAUAUGUAGCAGCAACAUAAUGACACUAAAAACUGCCCUAAAAAUCUGUAACAGAAAAAAAAAAUAGCUUACAUGCUACUCAAAAAAUUACCUAAAUACCUCUCAAAAUCAAAACAAAAAGCAAAGUAAAAAAUAAAACAGGACAUACUUGCAAGAAAAGAUAUGACCUAAAGGUUGUAUCUUAGCCCUGUUUGUUUUUUGAAUAAAAUAUUAAGUUUUAAGCAUUUAUUUACUGUUUACAUACAUUAGGCCUUACCAUAUUAUCAGGCACUAUUCUAAGUAUUUUACGAAUAGUACUUUAUGUAAUCCUCAUAGCUCCACAAGUAUGAGGGUGUGGUGGCUCAUGCCUGUAAUCCUAGCACUUUGGAAAGCAGACUGCUUAAGUCCAGGAGUUCAAGACCAGCUUAGGCAACAUGGCCAUACCCUGUUUCUACAAAAAACAAAAAAAUUAGCCGGGGAUGGUGGCCUGCACCUGUGGUCCCAGCUACUCAGGAGGCUGAGGUGGGAGGAUCACUUGAGCCUGGGAGAUCAAGGCUGCAGUGAGCUGUGAUCUUACCACUGCACUCCAGACUGGGUGACAGAGCGAGACUCUGUCUAAAAAAAAAAAAAGCUACCAUUGUUAUA